UAACAUCUAAAAAAUAGUUUUAGGGUUUCAUGACACUUUAAGAUCUUGUAGUGCGGGACUUUUAGUCACCCUUGUGUGACUAAUGUGUUUUUUUCAUGCUGUUAAGAGGAGCAAUGAGGAGAUGACAGUUUAGUCACUGACAUUACAUACAUUCUCAUAAACGGCAAUAAAUGUUCUUUUGCUGCAAAGGACAUCUCAUUCUGAAUCUUGCUACAUAAGGACAUUUGUCUUGGAUUGUUUUCCGUUUUGUUUCAUACAGAUCAGUGUUGAACAUGCCACCAUUAAGCAUGAAGAGCUGCUAAAAGAUUAGCAUACCCAAAAAAAGGAAGCUUUUUUUCAUUGUCUUACCAUUGUGUCAAAGUAACAAAUAAAUAAUAUUGGUAUUUGAUGUGGUAUUUCUGCCCUAAACACAGAAAGUACCGAAUAGCACUGAAACGCCCCAACCUUGGGAAGUUUCAGCAGUUACUCUCUCAACACAUGAUCAUCAUCAGUGAGCUGUAUUCAGAGAGGACACACUCACUCAAACAAGCUUAUCAUCUGCUGAAUGAUGUGUGUUUUUGCUUUCCUCCUGCAGGUAUGUCUUUUGGAUCAGCAUCUGCGGGUGACCUUUCAUUUGCAGAACUCGCAAAGACUUCGGAUGAAUUUGCAUUUGGCAAAAAAGAUGAUAAUUUCUCAUGGCCAGAUGCAGGAGCCCAAGUCUUUGGAAGCACAGUAACACAAAAGGAAGGAGGAAAAAAAAGCCAUGAAGCAGAAGAGGGGGGCAGUGAUGAUAAAAACACCCCAUAAUGACAAGAUCCACUAUAGGAUGAGUUCUGUGUUGCUGUGACAAGGUUAUGUUAGACAGACAGACUUGAUCCCUUUAUCCCUUUCUGAUGGGGAGGAGAUUACAAUUUACCAACUUUUUUUUUCAAUUUGGAGAUUACAAAAGACUGAACUGUCAAGCUUGCAUUUAUUUGUCCAUUAACAGUUAUCACAAAAUGCUGCACUACACAUCACUGUCACUGAGAAUACUUAUUUCUCUAUACAAUUAGUUCUAAAACAUCAGUUUUAAGAUUGAGUUAUGAAUGGUUUGGCUUGGAUCUGUGUGAUUUCUCAUUGUUUCACCCCCUGCUGCUGUGUCCAGAGGUCUUUAUAUAAUUUAGAGUCUAUUUAUGAAGGACAAUCACAGAUUUAAUACUUUAUCAAUUUAUUACCAGCAACAGAUACACAGGCUUUGAAAUAUGUACAAUAUCACUAUGUGCUAAAGUGUAUGAAUGCAUUUAAAUGUUAUGACUCUGCAUUUGACACUUAAAAAUCUACUGAAGAGCAAAAAAACAAAGGAACAAAAAAAAACUCAAAUUUAGUAGUACUAUACCAUUGUUUACUACAAAACCAGGGACCAUCUAUGUAAACUCUUAUUUUAAUUAAUUUAGGUCCAGUUUUGCAUACAAUAAGUUUUAAGCACAAAUGCAGACCAUAAUGAUCAGAAAAUGCAGGGAAUUGUUAUAGAAAAGCUAAUGCACAAUUUAAAUUCUAAUGUAGACAACAUGAGGAUACUUGACCAACUUGGCUUUAUGAUUAGAGAACAAAUAGGGUGCAUCCUCAUCCCAGCUCCAUAAACAUAU